rnacentral:lncRNA from 1 species
AGGAGGCUCGAGGAGGAAGAGGAGGCUCCAGCCUCUACCCUGCGGGUGCGGCGGCCUCGUCUGUCCGUGGGGAGGAAGAGGAGGCUCCAGCCUCUACCCCGCGGGCGCGGCGGCCUCGUGAGUCCGUGCGGAGGAGGAAGAGGAGGCUCGAGGAGGAAGAGGAGGCUCCAGCCUCCACCCCACGGGCGCGACAGCCUCAUCUGUCUGUGUAGAGGAAGAGGAGGCUCCAGCCUCUACCCCGCGGGCGCGGCGGCCUCGUCUGUCCGUGGGGAGGAGGAAGAGGAGGCUCCAGCCUCUACCCCGCGGGCGCGGCGGCCUCGUGACUCCGUGCGGAGGAGGAAGAGGAGGCCAGAGGGGGCUAGAGGCUGAUGCUGCGGUGGUGCCUGAAGAGGCCCUGGCCUCCGCGGCGCUGCUCCCGCUCCUCCGUCUCGCCGCUGUUGAGGCUGGCGGCGUCGGAGAGGCCGAGGAGGUGCUCCACCGAGUCGAACUUCUGCAGGUCGGAGGCGAUGGUCUGGAGGCUGAGCACCGAGAGCGCGUCCGCCGGGGGCCCCUCGGCCCCUCGCUGCCCGGCCUCGCCGGCCUCCCCGGCCUCGCCGGCCUCGGCCCCGACGGGGGAGGCCCGGCGGAGGACGAGGCGCUGGAGGCGGCGGGCGUGGAUCUGCUCGCUGAUCUGCUCCAGGUUGCGCAGGGCCACCGAGUAGCGCGUCUUGGCCUGCGCCACGCGCCGCUCCAGCGCCGUCACCGCGGCCUUGUGCUCCUGGGGGGGGAGGGGGGAAAAAGGGAGGCCGGGAGGUCGCCCCGGGGAGGCUGGCACCCGGGGAGGCUUCGAAAGGCCUCGGAUGGGGAGGGGACGCCAGGAGGGGCGAGCACGGGGAGGAGGAGGCCACGGGGAGGAAG